ensembl:lncRNA
GUUUGAAGGAUCCAAUAGAAAGUAAUUCCUAGAAAUUAAGACCCCACCCCAAAUUUAUCUAGGGGAAGUUCUGUCCUGUGAGCACAUGGCUGCUGUUGCUACAUGAGAUUCGGGGAAGAGGAUGGCUGUCUGCUGUUCUGCUGUCAUCCUACCUCACUUGAAGAUCUGGUUCUGUUCAGAAAGUCCUUCUGGUUUUCAGCCAUUCUCCACUUAGAGUGGGGGCUUUCUUUGUGGACGUCGAAUGGGAUUUUCCAUAAGUCUAAGAAGAUUAAAAUGGUGAACGAGAAUUACUUUGGUAAGGCACUGGUGUGAGAGAAAUGAAAAUGAGUAGAACCUGGUCCUUCCUCACAGAAAUUACAGUGCUGAAGCAAGUAUGAAGGAGAUGCACGAUCAAGCCACAGCUGGGUUUAAGAGAUGCAGAUGCUGUGCCAAGAACUGAUGAGAAAGCCUUUUCCAAUAGGGAACCAGGACUGGCACUCAAAUUAAAAUGUGAGAGCUUCUCUUUCUUUUUCUGCAUGACCCCUUCCCUCCUCACAAAGAAAGAGAAAAAUACUUUUUCCUUAAUUCUACUGAUCAGAGGGAGACAGAAGUUUUCUUUUAAACCACAUCAUAAGCAGGGCAGCUGGUAACUCUUGCACACCUCCCGGGGAAACUGAGCAUUGUGCUCCCAAGGCUCCCAAGGCGAUAGCUGUGCAAAGCAGGGGUGGCUGCAUUGUAUAGGGCUUCACAACAACCAUUACAGUCUAGGCUUUGGCUGUGAGGGAAUAUUUAAAACUUUUGGUUGCCAAAAGUGAUGAACUACUUUCAUGUAGUCAUGGAAAACAAUUGUUGGAGGCUGGCAGAACCAAAUCUUGAAAAUUUUGUACAUUCUUUUCUUUUCCUGAGUUCAACCCUUUGCCCCUUAUUUGACAGUUUCUAUGUACAGAACAGGUUAAGCAUUGCCUUGGGUAAAUGAAUAUGCAAACAGAGGGUACACAGAAGCAUUAUCCAUCUGUGACAUGAGCAAGGCUUUUGCAUAUUAGUACAGAUCUCAAUGAGCAGCAAGAGGGUUGUUUGUGCUUGGGUUAUGCUUGCUGUGUUCCAAAACUAAGGUGAAAUCUGGCCUCAGAUCCCUGAGGUCUAACUAAUGCAGUAAUGAACUGAGACAGCUUGUUAGGCAUCGUUUCCACCAAAUUCCCAGGCUGUUCUGUUCUGAGAAGAUAUUUUCUAAGUUGAAAAUGGCGUAAAUGUAAUGGGCCCCACUCAGAAAUAACAGAUCUUAUUGUAAAGUCAUCUAGAAAUGAAUGGAGCUGGUGAUGCCUUAAAAUAUUCCUGUUCCUAAAGUUAUAUUCAAGAGUCUUAUUGUCAAGGAAACAUGAUGGGCUUAUUGAAUACCCUGUAGAAUACUAUACAUGAAGUUCUUGCUUUAAUGCAGUUUUUCUAUUUAAUCUGAGUUGUAUAUAUGCUGUUGCAGCUUCAAAACAUCUGGGUACAGCAAUUUUUUUUUUCUAUCCUGCACCUGCAAGAGUAAGUACACACAUAAACGAAAAAGAAAUUAAAUCUUCUGCAGAACUGGGGAGAAAAAGAACUCAACCAGCCAUGAAGCUCAGGGGAGCAGUAUGACAAGUGCUGAGCUGUAAACAAGCUUGAGAGGGAUUUAAUUCUUCUGACAAGUGCCAGUGGUGGCAUUUCACAUGGACUUAGCAUAUGCACACAUUUCAGAGAGGAGCCACACAGGAUUUAAUGCAAAUAGAAGAGAAGAAAAAAAAGCUCUCAGUGCCUCAGCAGCUCCUUGUCUAUAAAUAGCCAAGCAAAUCAGGAGAAGCUAGUGUUGUAAUUAUCUUGAUUUUCAGAAUUUUUGCCACUCAGAAGAGAUUUUUAGAGUCUCCUCCCUGCUCUUCAUAAUUAUAGCGGUUGUUCCAACCUCUGCCAAGGGUUGGUGGUUGCAGUGUGAUAUUCACCAGGUGGCUGCUCUGCAGCAGAGAAAACUACCCAGUUUCCUACAUUGGUCUGGUUUUGUCAUUUAGGAUCCAAAUCAAGACUUCAGAGAGCAACCAUUCAUCAUCUUGUGACAGCUGCUUCUUCACUUUUGAUUGUACCUUCUAGACUCUGGUGCUGUGGGGCCUUUCUGCACUUGAGUGACAUGACUAAGAUACCAGAGGAGCUGUGCAGACAGUUCAAUCAGGAAAAGAGGGGAAGCCAAUCCUGUAGUAGCCCAGAAACUGGACCCCUUCCAAAUGCAGAAUACCAUGCUUGCUGAUCCAUAAUCUCUUGGCAUGUUCAAGAACUACAGUGGAGGGUGGGGCAAGGGCAGGAGAGUGAUUAUUAAGAUUAGGUAGGUGAGCUGAGAAAUUCUUUUUGCUUACCUAAUAUCCUUCUCCUACCUCAAGUGAGCACACUGUAGUUCACAAGCUAAAUCUAGCCUAUAGGCUGUUUUUAUAGUUGUGUCAGAACAUAGCCUCAAUGUGUAUCCCUUAUGGCUGCUUUCAUGUAACACCGGCAGGACCAAGCAGUUGCAACACUUUUUGGCAUAUGUACCAUCUGGAAUUUUACAGAACAGUUUUGCUGACCCAUCCCUUAUAUUUAACAGAACGUCAUGAUUAUGGCAGCCAUGUACCAGUUUUUAAAAAAUCACUUUCUUGAAGCUGGGGGCUAGCCACCGGAUCCAGUUACGUCUUAUGAAAUACAAGAGCAAGUAAGUUGGGUGAGGUUUUCAGGAAAAUGAUUGUUUUCCUCCUAAAACUGGCAUGACCAUGGCACUUUUUCUUUCCUCCUCUGUGCAUGGCUGUGGUAACACUUGUGUAGUGUUCCCACUGAUGUUCACACUGAUGUGCACUUCCCAUUGAUGUAGCAUGAUAGCUCCCUCAUGACUAUGAAGAAUAAAAGUUAUAUUUUAAGGAUAUAAGUGGGAAUGUGGAUUUUCAAUGGCUUUCUUGAGUGGUUGCUUUCAUCUUGGACUGGUUAGUCCUGAACAGAUUAUAGUCCACACAUUGAGCCACCUAACUGGAUUUGUAUAACUCGCAAGCAAAUCGAAUCCUAAGAAGGGAAUUGUGAAGACACAUGAGCUUGGCAUAGAAGUCAAGAAGGAAUUGCAGUCCCUGCUGGCUCCUUCAGAUUCCCCACCAGCACUCAUGGAGGGCAAAGGAAUCCCACCCACACCCUGGGAAGAGUGGCAGGGCCUGUCGAUUCUAAUGGGUACCCACAUACACAGGAGUCUAUGGACUCCUGCCUGAGAGUGAAGAGCCUAGAGCUUCUCUGCUAGUAACUCCCAUCUCCUGCAGACUCCACAGUCAGUGUGUGGAGGCAAUUGUAGGCCCCAGAGGACCCCCACAAGAACAUGAGCUCACUUCUGACUCAGAGGUCCCUCACUUGCCAGUGAACCUGGCUGCCAAUUCCUUCAUUGUGCUUGGGGGUUGGAAGGGAGUACUUCCUAACCCAAGAAAUGGGACAGCAUCAGACUCUGCCUGCAAGUUGGAAGAAUGAAGUCCUGAGAUUGGGUUAGCCUCAGUCUUGGAGUGGAAGAGUCAGAGGUGAUAUUGAUGUGUCUGCAUGGCAAUACACUGCCAUCAGCACAAGAAGGGAAUGAUGUGAACACCCAGGCUUUCUGGCAAAGUGGUCAUGUGUGAAGCACAUAUUCACUCUCUUGUUGGAGUAUUUGAAUUGAGCUCCUGUCAGAUAUUUCCUCUGACUUUUUCUUCUAUUUGCUUUGAUCUAGUUGGUAUCUAUGUUCUAUCCCUCUUCUCAUCUCCCUCACUAGUUUCUUUUCCUCAGUCUCCCAUAGCAAUAUCAUUAUUUUAUUUCUUAUUUCUUUUUCCCACUUUUUUUUUGUUGUUGUUGUUACCAGGGAUUGAACUCAG